AGUUUGAUCCUGGCUCAGGAUGAACGCUGGCGGCGUGCCUAAUACAUGCAAGUCGAGCGAACAGACGGGGAGCUUGCUCCCCCGACGUUAGCGGCGGACGGGUGAGUAACACGUGGGUAACCUACCUAUAAGACUGGAAUAACUCCGGGAAACCGGGGCUAAUGCCGGAUAACAUGUUGGACCGCAUGGUCCUACAGUGAAAGACGGUCUUGCUGUCACUUAUAGAUGGACCCGCGCCGUAUUAGCUAGUUGGUAAGGUAACGGCUUACCAAGGCAACGAUACGUAGCCGACCUGAGAGGGUGAUCGGCCACACUGGAACUGAGACACGGUCCAGACUCCUACGGGAGGCAGCAGUAGGGAAUCUUCCGCAAUGGGCGAAAGCCUGACGGAGCAACGCCGCGUGAGUGAUGAAGGCCUUCGGGUCGUAAAACUCUGUUAUUAGGGAAGAACAAAUGUGUAAGUAACUAUGCACGUCUUGACGGUACCUAAUCAGAAAGCCACGGCUAACUACGUGCCAGCAGCCGCGGUA
rnacentral:rRNA from 1 species